AAAUUUUUGAAGUUUCUCUAGCUUUUUUGUUGGGUGAAAUCAGUAUAAGAAGCUCUUUCUUCUUUAAAAAUUAGUAGGAACUAAAAAACUUUGAUUUAAAACCAGGAUUAGAUACCCUGUUAUUCUCAGUUAUUCUUAAACAGGGUAGUAAAAGUUGUUCUUCAAACCCAAAGAUUUUGGCGGCACUUUAUCCAAAUAGAGGAGCUUGUCCCUUAAUCGAUAGUCCUCGUUUUAUCUUUCCUUCAUUUGUAAAGCUUGUAUACCGCCGUUGUCAGAUUACUUUUAGAGAAUGUUUUCAAGUUAAAAGACUUUAUAACUUCAGGUCAAGGUGCAGUUAAUAUGGGGGUGGAGGUGAGCUACAGUUUUCUUUAGAAAAUAUGGAUUCUAAGCUUUGAAGCUAGCUGAAGGUGGAUUUACUAGUAAAGUAA
rnacentral:rRNA from 1 species